AGGGCACCACCAGGAGUGGAGCCUGCGGCUUAAUUUGACUCAACACGGGAAAACCCACCCGGCCCGGACACUGGAAGGAUUGACAGAUUGAGAGCUCUUUCUUGAUUCAGUGGGUGGUGGUGCAUGGCCGUUCUUAGUUGGUGGAGUGAUUUGUCUGGUUAAUUCCGAUAACGAACGAGACUCUAGCCUAUUAAAUAGAUCGUUGGCUUACAAACGCCGGCGAGACUUCUUAGAGGGACAGGCGGCGAUUCAGCCGCACGAAACAGAGCAAUAACAGGUCUGUGAUGCCCUUAGAUGUCCGGGGCCGCACGCGCGCUACACUGAAGUGAUCAGCGUGCAUUUUGAAACCUACUCUGUCAAGAGUGGGGAACCCAAUGAACCUUCUUCGUGAUUGGGAUAGGGGAUUGUAAUUAUUCCCCUUGAACGAGGAAUUCCCAGUAAGCGCGAAUCAUAAGUUUGCGCUGAUUACGUCCCUGCCCUUUGUACACACCGCCCGUCGCUACUACCGAUUGAAUGUUU
rnacentral:rRNA from 1 species